UAACGGCCGCGGUAUCCUAACCGUGCAAAGGUAGCGUAAUCACUUGUCCCCUAAAUAGAGACUAGUAUGAACGGCUAAAUGAGGGCCUAACUGUCUCCUGCGGCCAAUCAAUGAACCUGAUCUCCCAGUACAAAAGCUGGGAUCAACACAUAAGACGAGAAGACCCUGUGGAGCUUUAAACAACACCACUACCAACCCAUAAAAACCAAUCCAACACACGGAUGCAACACCACACACAACAUUAGUGAUAAUUUUAAGUUGGGGCGACUACGGAGCAAAAUAAAACCUCCACGAACCAGGGCCAACCCCACCCUAGAUCAACACAUCAAAGACACAAAACACUACGACCCAGUACCACUGAUCACCGAACCAAGUUACCCCAGGGAUAACAGCGCUAUCCUCUCCAAGAGUUCAUAUCGACAAGAGGGUUUACGACCUCGAUGUUGGAUCAGGGCCCCCAGGUGGUGCAGCCGCUACCAAAGGUUCGUUCGUUCAACGAUUAAUGCCCUAC
rnacentral:rRNA from 1 species